UCACAAUUCAUUUCUUCUCGCUCGCGCUCUUCAUAUUGUAAAUAAUCAGAGCAGUACUGCCACAUUCUUCUUGCUGUCGCAAAUCUUCAAGCAUCAGCAAAGGUUUUACAAUGCCUAUUCACAACUGAAGACUAAAGAUGUUGUUGUUAAAGAAGUCAUCGCAUUCACAACAGAAGUGCUUGGGAAUUCUUACUAUACUGCUCUAGAUGAUGGUUUUAUCCACAAAGACAGUGAUCUCAAGUCAAGGAUUUCCUUCAAGUAUAGCAUCACAAGAGGAGUGCAUAGCACACCAACUUACUUCGUCAAUGGAUUUCCACUGCCUAAUCCCGGCACUCUCAUAGCGUUCGAUGGAUGGAAG